AUUUGUUACCAUAUUAAAAAAAGAAAUGAAAAGUUUAAAAAUGGAUAACCUGAGGAUGGAUAAAUUUAAAAACAAAGAAAAAGUCCCCGACACGCGACCGUUGCUUUUCAGAAAUAUAAAAUGAAUUUCUGAACAGAAAAUCCUAAACGAAAAAACUCGAGAUUUUUAUGAGACACCGCUUCGAAGUAAGGUCAUUCCCUUCGAAACACUGCCGCUUAAUCAGAGCAAUUCAAUAAAGAGAUCUGAGUGGAUUAUAAUUCGCUUUGAAUCAAAGUGCGUCGUGUAACAUCAUACCACUACGAUCAGAUACCCGUUCAGAAGCACAUCAGACGGCAGAAUCACUCUGGUGACGUAAAACAGAGAACGGGCUUCCAAAAAACAAGAAUCUCUAAAGAUAGAAGAAAGAAAAAGGAAAUUUAGAAAAUUUAAAGACAGAAGAAAGAAAGGAUAAAAGCAUUAAAGAAACUUUAAAGAUAGAGAAGGAAUUCCAAGAAACCCUUUACUAGUGCACAUAGCGUUUGUAGAUGAUUAUUUAAACUUUCUCUUAAAGAAGAGAAUUAAACAGAAAGAUUUUGAAUGAAGAGAGAAGUAGACAGAAAUUUAUGACCUACACCAUAGCAGAAGGCAAGCAAACCUAAAGCAGUUCGUAAAAGAAUCAAAUGAGGGGUUCAGAGCUACCGCAACCUUUAUUGUCUGAAAACAGUUAUGAAACGCCUAGCAUGGACGCCAGAGAAACAGCUGGUACGUGCAAAAGACCGAAAUGCGAGCACAUCAAAGAGCCAUUACAGUUGCCCCAACUAGGCAAAAGGCAAUCACUCGUAACUCAUCGGCGUCCAACUCCAUUCAUAAAAAAUUCCGUAUACAAAGUUGAAAGGUGGAGAAACGAGGUGAUGGAACAAGUAAGUAACAGUAGCUUUCACUCUUCCCAGCAACAUAUGUAUCCAGAGAGUAGAAGACCAGGGCAGAGCCGUUUGCUGCAACGGGGCAGAAAUAUAGGAAACGGUAAUUUACUGCAGCUAGGUAGGACCCCAGGAAAUGAGACUCUUUGCAAUAUUCAUGGAUCAAAUAAGAGUGAAGAUACAACACACCCUACGAAAGGCACAGAACGCCGUGUUAUCAGGAAGAUGAAUUCGGAAUCCCAGUUGAGCGAACUGAAAAUGAAGCUGGCACGGGAUGGGGCGCAGAGGUCAUCUGCAUUUAGAGGUACAAAGAGUGACAGAUUUAGUGGCACGUUUUGAACAAUCUAGAGUUGAGUCUUUAUGUGUUAUAUGAUCAGCACACACUUUCCUUGGCGAAAAUCAGUACUAAUAAAAUGUAUUAAUUUCAUCAAACCAAACUGUAAAAUGAUCAAACAUAUCACUGUUUUUAAUGACCAAGUUGAGUACAAACUUAUUCAUAGUAGUAGAAAUGUUUUAGAAAAAGCUCGUUUUAGCAGCUUCAAGGUGCAUAAAUAACGAUUUUGUACUA